UACGUAGGGAGCAAGCGUUAUCCGGAUUUACUGGGUGUAAAGGGUGCGUAGGCGGCCACCUAAGUCUAAAGUGAAAUUUUGGGGCUCAACCCCGGAGCUGCUUUGGAAACUGGGAGGCUAGAGUAUAGGAGAGGAAAGCGGAACUCCACGUGUAGCGGUGAAAUGCGUAGAGAUGUGGAGGAACACCAGUAGCGAAGGCGGCUUUCUGGACUAUUACUGACGCUGAGGCACGAAAGCGUGGGGAGCAAACAGG
rnacentral:rRNA from 1 species